CCUACGGGAGGCAGCAGUAGGGAAUAUUGCUCAAUGGGGGAAACCCUGAAGCAGCAACGCCGCGUGGAGGAUGAAGGUUUUCGGAUUGUACACUCCUUUUGUUAGAGAAGAUAAUGACGGUAUCUAACGAAUAAGCACCGGCUACCUCCGGGCCAGCAGCCGCGGUAAUACGGAGGGUGCAAGCGUUACUCGGAAUCACUGGGCGUAAGGAGCGCGUAGGCGGGAUAGCAAGUCAGAUGUGAAAUCCUAUGGCUUAACUAUAGAACUGCAUUUGAAACUGUUAUUCUAGAGUAUGGGAGAGGUAGGUGGAAUUCUUGGUGUAGGGGUAAAAUCCGUAGAGAUCAAGAGGAAUACUCAUUGCGAAGGCGACCUGCUAGAACAUAACUGACGCUGAUGCGCGAAAGCGUGGGGAGCAAACAGGAGUAGAUACCCCUGUAGUC
rnacentral:rRNA from 1 species